rnacentral:lncRNA from 1 species
UAGAAUCAAAGAUAAUAUCAGAAUUAGUUUAAUAUCUUAAUAUUUCAUUCUAUGCACAUAAAAAUACAUAAAAGAAAUAAGUAGUUCAAAUAAAAUUUAUCUAAUAGAAGGUAAAAUUCACACCAUUUAAAGAAAAUUACUUAUCCUAAUAGCAAAAUAAACAGUGUUUAAAAAACUAAACAUAGAUGAAGCUAUUUUCCUUUGUUUGAUUCCAUCAUCCAACAUUGUAAUCAUCCAAUUCAUAGAAAACUUGCCCCUCAUGGGGUAGCCGAAUUGGUGGAGUAAGUAAGUGCGGAGGCCUUUGGUCACAAGUUCAAUACCCCCUACCAACACUUUCUCGGUCAGGUCUGUCGCAUAGGGUUUGUUUAGUGCAAUUUACCUGACUGACAUGAUUUGCAGGCUAUUGCGUCAGUCCGAGGUUUUAUCCAGUAUGCACCUGAAUGAUAGCGGCUGCAGACUCCCCCGUCAUAUUAUUUAAAAAAAAAAAAACAUUGAAAACUCAGUCGCCAAUGCACAUAAAUUAUUUUCAUGAUUAGUUCUGCCCUAACUUUUAUACAUACAAAAACUGAUAAUUUAAAAAGCUACAGAAAGUCAAAUUUUCUAACCAUCCAAUUGAGAGAAAUGGUAAACCCAAUCUUAAAUGCACUUACAAUAUAUUAUAGUUCUUAAGUAGCCACUAAAUUUUAAUGGUUAAAAAAAAUUAGAGAAACAGAAAUUUAGCAGAACUCUCGUCUUCUUCAUUUCCUAAACCUUUAGGUGCAUUUCAAUAGAAAUAUAUAAUCAAGUAGUCUAUGAGUGUCCCCGGCAUUCAUAUAGAUUCAUUUUUUAACACAUAAAAUCUAUACAAAACUGAAAAAAUCAAAAAUAAAAAACCUAUAAGCAGAGCUGAAUCAUCAGUGGCAUCAACAUCUACAGCGGCGCGUUGGAAGGGAUUAGCAUAAGGAAGAAUCUACAGGUAGCGUAUGUAAAUGCGAGUAGCAGAAAAAUUCACCAAAACACCAUCAUAUCUGAAUCACAACACUAUUUAUCCUAAAAGGACAAUCAUAAAUCAUAAAGAAAACUAUAAUGAACACUCCAAGUGGAAAUUGCUUGAAUAAAUCAUUUAAGCUUCAAAGAAAAUUAAAGAAAUUACUCACAACAGAAAUUGAAAAGUGAAGAAAAAAAAAAAAAAAAUUAGAAUGACUUUUAAAAUCCCUUCGAAAAAAAGCAAUAAAUGAAAUCUCAACACCAAACAAAAUGGAAACUUAUCCGAAGGAGCUUGUGUCACCACUUGACGACGCCACUGUAAAUUUUCUGCCUUUUUGAGAACGUUUCACAAAACUUCAAACUAAAAGAAAACAAAGAUCGAACAUAGAAGCAUUAGGGUUGAUAGAACCGGAAGAAAGAUAUAGAAGAAUGUAGUUUUGAGGAUAUCUCAAUCUUUUGGAUUUUUUUGGGGUUAUUUUGUCGAGGGAAAGAAGUGAGAGAAUUGAAAUUAUUUUUGAAAAACUUAC